rnacentral:rRNA from 1 species
GACGAACGCUGGCGGCGUGCUUAACACAUGCAAGUCGAACGGAAAGGCCCUGCUUUUGUGGGGUGCUCGAGUGGCGAACGGGUGAGUAACACGUGAGUAACCUGCCCUUGACUCUGGGAUAACUUCAGGAAACUGGGGCUAAUACCGGAUAGGAGCUCCUGCUGCAUGGUGGGGGUUGGAAAGUUUCGGCGGUUGGGGAUGGACUCGCGGCUUAUCAGCUUGUUGGUGGGGUAGUGACUUACCAAGGCUUUGACGGGUAGCCGGCCUGGGAGGGUGACCGGCCACAUUGGGACUGAGAUACGGCCCAGACUCCUACGGGAGGCAGCAGUGGGGAAUAUUGCACAAUGGGCGGAAGCCUGAUGCAGCAACGCCGCGUGCGGGAUGACGGCCUUCGGGUUGUAAACCGCUUUCGCCUGUGACGAAGCGUGAGUGACGGUAAUGGGUAAAGAAGCACCGGCUAACUACGUG